rnacentral:rRNA from 1 species
GAUGAACGCUGGCGGCGUGCCUAAUACAUGCAAGUCGAGCGAACGGACGAGAAGCUUGCUUCUCUGAUGUUAGCGGCGGACGGGUGAGUAACACGUGGAUAACCUACCUAUAAGACUGGGGUAACUUCGGGAAACCGGAGCUAAUACCGGAUAAUAUUUUGAACCGCAUGGUUCAAAAGUGAAAGACGGUCUUGCUGUCACUUAUAGAUGGAUCCGCGCUGCAUUAGCUAGUUGGUAAGGUAACGGCUUACCAAGGCAACGAUGCAUAGCCGACCUGAGAGGAUGAUCAGCCACAGUGGAACUGAGACACGGGCCAGACGCCGAAGGGAGGCAGCAGUGGGGAAUAUUGGACAAAGUGCGAAAUCCUGAACCAGCCAUACUGCGUGGGUGAAGAAGGUCUUCGGGUUGGAAAGCACUUUUGUGGGGAAAGAAAAGCAGAAGGUUAAUACCACGCUGUGAGGACGGGACCCAAAGAAGAAGCACCGGCUAGCUUCGUG